rnacentral:rRNA from 1 species
AUUGAACGCUGGCGGCAGGCUUAACACAUGCAAGUCGAGCGGAGAUGAGGUGCUUGCACCUUAUCUUAGCGGCGGACGGGUGAGUAAUGCUUAAGAAUCUGCCUAUUAGUGGGGGACAACAUUCCGAAAGGAAUGCUAAUACCGCAUACGUCCUACGGGAGAAAGCAGGGGAUCUUCGGGCCUUGCGCUAAUAGAUGAGCCUAAGUCGGAUUAGCUAGUUGGUGGGGUAAAGGCCUACAAAGGCGACGAUCUGUAGCGGGUCUGAGAGGAUGGUCCGCCAAACUGGGACUGAGACACGGCCCAGACUCCUACGGGAGGCAGCAGGUGGGAAUAUUGGACAAAGGGGGGAACCCUGAUCCAGCCAUGCCGCGUGUGUGAAGGAGGCCUUAUGGUUGUAAAGCACUUUAAGCGAGGAGGAGGCUACUGAGACUAAUACUCUUGGAUAGUGGACGUUACUCGCAGAAUAAGCACCGGCUAACUCUGUGCCAGCCGCCGCCGUAA